GCAGGCUGUUCCAGAGCCUCGGGGCCCUGACAGCAAACGCUCUUGUAACACAGAUGAAAUGAUCUAGGUUUAAAAAUAGGAAAAGCCUAUAAAAAUCUGAAUGAGUGAUUUUAUUUUUGAAAUGCAACUUGAGAGAUUAUCUAAGGAUUUUAAAGGCCCGCCCACCUGCUCCCGCGUCUCUGGGAGCGAGCGAAAGUUUUUUUUUUUUUCCCCCGCUGCUGUGUGUGUGUGGAGAGACAGAAGUGCUAAGCUGCUGUAGAGGAUGAAAACUGUGAAAAACGGAGAAACCUGGAGAAAAUACAGCUAAAAACGAACUACACUGAGGCUAACUUCAACACUACAAACGUGGUAGCUAACUGCAGUAAGAAUUUAGUUGUAAGUUCAGUGUUUAGAUAUAGCGCUUGAGCAGCGUCGGUAGCUUUGAUGUCCGUAGGAUUCCCCGCGACGCGCAGUCUUUGCUGAUUCAAGAGCGAGAAGACCUUGUAGCUUUACUGGGCGCCGCCAUUUUGGGUGUGUGUCCAGCCGCUCUGGUGAAAUCGGUGAGACUGUUCAUUUUCAACUUAGGAAUUUCACUUACUUUGUACCUUAAAUUAUUUAUGUGCACUUAGUGAAUAUGAAGCUACAAUUUUAGUUGAACAAGCUGGUUUACUGUGUUGUUUAAUGUGUAAACUCAGCUUACUUUAUUUUGCACUUGCAUCAAAACUUUAAUUGUUCUAACGUGCAGCUUAUUGGUGCAGCUUAUCCGGUUGUGUGCAGCCGGUUAUUUUAUUUAGUUAUUUAUGUUUAUAUGCUGAAUUUGAGAGAGAGGCACAGAAAGUAAACACCCACAAUAUGUAUAUCAUUGUGUAUUGUGAAUUUCAUGUAGUGUAUAUUAUUGCAUGAGACUUAAGCAGUGAAUAUUUCUCUGACCCUGUCUGUUGACAAGUCAGGUUUUUUGUUGUGUGUGCGUGUUUCUUCUUCCAUUGUCUGGAUUGGAUCUGCGGAUGAAAAUUGAUGGCGAGCCGUCCCUCUUGAAUGAUUGUGGGAGCCAUUCCCUCUUCAGGAUCACUGGACCUGUCCCGCUACUACUGCACUUUGCGGUGGGGUAGGCCCCACUACAACACAAAACCCCUUAACUCACCUUCACACUCCUUCCCCCACACACAUACAUACACCAACCCUAUGGAACUCUGACUUACCUUCGACACAUCCAUUUUUUGUUUGGACUUUGGACUCUCUUAAACAAACUCACCUGUUCACACCUUGGGACUGAGAAUUUGGAGCUGAGUAGUAGGAAUCAUUCCUGCAGUUAAGGGUUACUGUUGUACUGUGUGAAUUCUACAGGAUUGUAUUAUUGAACUGGAUCUGAACAAACUUGAAUGUGGUGUUAUUAACAGAAAUUCAGGUUUAAAGGGUGCACCCGGGAAUUUAAUUAUAGAACUACUUCAAAGAGUGAAAUACUCAACUAAUACUAAAUUUGGAAAGCAAGCAUUUCAUGCUGAUGUCAUAGCCUGAUUGUGAUAUCAAUAAUCGCCUUAUUCAUUACUUGUUUUAUUAUUGUACUUUUUCAUUUUUGGUACCAACCAAUAUUUUUAUUUUUAUACAUAUCUUCAAAUAUAAGAAGCCGGCAUCAUCUUACAUCUAA